GAUGAAGAACGUAGCGAAAUGCGAUACGUAAUGUGAAUUGCAGAAUUCAGUGAAUCAUCGAGUCUUUGAACGCACAUUGCGCCCUCUGGUAUUCCGGAGGGCAUGCCUGUCCGAGCGUCAUUGCUGCCCUCAAGCACGGCUUGUGUGUUGGGCUCCGUCCUCCUUCCGGGGGACGGGCCCGAAAGGCAGCGGCGGCACCGCGUCCGGUCCUCAAGCAUAUGGGGCUUUGUCACCCGCUUUGUAGGACUGGCCGGCGCCUGCCGAUCAACCAAACUUUUUUCCAGGUUGACCUCGGAUCAGGUAGGGAUACCCGCUGAACUUAAGCAUAUCAAUAAGCGGAGGA
rnacentral:misc_RNA from 1 species